rnacentral:rRNA from 1 species
UACGUAGGGUGCGAGCGUUGUCCGGAUUUAUUGGGCGUAAAGAGCGUGUAGGCGGCCAGGUAGGUCUGCUGUGAAAACUCGAGGCUCAACCUCGAGACGUCGGCGGAAACCAUCUGGCUAGAGUCCGGAAGAGGAGAGUGGAAUUCCUGGUGUAGCGGUGAAAUGCGCAGAUAUCAGGAAGAACACCCGUGGCGAAGGCGGCUCUCUGGGACGGUACUGACGCUGAGACGCGAAAGCGUGGGGAGCAAACAGG